UUCCUGAUGUUUAGUCGGAAUCUCCUUUCUUGUAACUUGAAGUCAUUGGUUCGAGUUCUACCCUCAAAAGCAGGAGAAAACAAGCUUACUGCAUCUUCCAUGUGACACCCCUUGAGAUAUUUGAAGAUGACUAUCACAUCUCCUCUCAGUCUCAGUCUCUUUUCCAGGAUAAACAUACCCAGCUCUUUCAAC